GAGCCUGUAGCUCAGCCAGGUUAGAGCACUACUCUGAUACGGUAGGGGUCCACAGUUCAAAUCUGUGCAGGCUCA
rnacentral:tRNA from 1 species